rnacentral:lncRNA from 1 species
UGCCUUUCUCUUUGCUGUGGGAGGCUGGCCCGUGAGCACGCAGGAUGUUCCCGCCAUCCUUAGCCUUUACCCACUGGGGGCUGUGAAAUCCCCUCACCCUGCCCUGGCCAAGAAGUGACAAUAACCAAUGUCACCAAACACUGCCAGACAUAGCCAGUUGCCCUUUGGCUGGGGACCGCUGCUUUAAAGCAUAGGAGACAUCUCGAAAUGGUACGUAUGGCUCUCUCACACAAACUGAAGACAAGAGCUGGCUAAGAGCAAAGUGGAGAUGUCCACAGCAGCCACGGGCCACAUGUGCCUACUCGGCCCUUCACAUGUGGGGCCAGGCAGAGCUGAGAUUUGCCACAAGUGUAAGACAUGCGGCAGACUUGUAAGACUUAGCAGGAAAAAGAGAAGGCAAAACAUUUCAAUACUUCAUAUUGAAACACUAAAAUGGCGUUCUGGAUAUAGCAGGCUUGAAUAAAAUACGUUAUUAAAAUUAACUUCAUCUUUUUCUUUUUAAAAAUGUAGCUACUAGAAAAGUUCAGAUUACUUAUGUGGCCUGUGUUAGAGGUCUGCUCAACAGGGCUGAACUCACACAAGGACUCAUUCCUCCCUUGUGCUCUCUCCUCCAGACAGCCUUUGAUGAGGAAAGGGAGCUCGAGAGCUCUGUCUUCAGUUUUCCCUUCACAUUUUCUGUGUUCUCCUCGGCCGCUCUCCAGUCUUGCUCUUAGGAGACCAAUCUCCCAACUGCACCUCCAGGCCAAAAUGCUACUAAAGCCUACGCCUAUCUACCCACCCACCAACAACCCCACUCCACUUGGACAUCCUAGCAGAACCCCAACAUUUUUUGUCUUCAAUGCCACAAUCUCAGAAUCUACACCAAGGAGGAGGAACUUGCAGAAGACUUGUGGCAAUCUGUGUACUCAGAGAAGAACAUGGAGACACAAAAGGCAAAAACUAGAC